rnacentral:rRNA from 1 species
GAUGAACGCUGGCGGCGUGCCUAAUACAUGCAAGUCGAGCGAAUGGAUUGAGAGCUUGCUCUCAUGAAGUUAGCGGCGGACGGGUGAGUAACACGUGGGUAACCUGCCCAUAGGACUGGGAUAACUCCGGGAAACCGGGGCUAAUACCGGAUAACAUUUUGAACCGCAUGGUUCGAAAUUGAAAGGCGGCUUCGGCUGUCACUUAUGGAUGGACCCGCGUCGCAUUAGCUAGUUGGUGAGGUAACGGCUCACCAAGGCAACGAUGCGUAGCCGACCUGAGAGGGUGAUCGGCCACACUGGGACUGAGACACGGCCCAGACUCCUACGGGAGGCAGCAGUAGGGAAUCUUCCGCAAUGGACGAAAGUCUGACGGAGCAACGCCGCGUGAGUGAUGAAGGCUUUCGGGUCGUAAAACUCUGUUGUUAGGGAAGAACAAGUGCUAGUUGAAUAAGCUGGCACCUUGACGGUACCUAACCAGAAAGCCACGGCUAACUACGUGCCAGCCGCCGCCGUAA